CAAUAGCGUAUAUUAAAGUUGUUGCGGUUAAAAAGCUCGUAGUUGGAUUUCUGCUGAGAACGACCGGUCCGCCCUUUGGGUGUGUAUCUGGCUCUUUCUUGGCAUCUUCUUGGUGAACGUUGCUGCACUUGACUGUGUGGAGCGCUACCCAGGACUUUUACUUUGAGGAAAUUAGAGUGUUUCAAGCAGGCAUACGCCUUGAAUACAUUAGCAUGGAAUAAUAAGAUAGGACCUCGGUUCUAUUUUGUUGGUUUCUAGAGCUGAGGUAAUGAUUAAUAGGGAUAGUUGGGGGCAUUAGUAUUUAAUUGUCAGAGGUGAAAUUCUUGGAUUUAUUAAAGACUAACAUCUGCGAAAGCAUUUGCCAAGGAUGUUUNCAUUAA
rnacentral:rRNA from 1 species